UACAGAGGGGGCAAGCGUUGUUCGGAAUUACUGGGCGUAAAGGGCGCGUAGGCGGCCUGCUAAGUCGAACGUGAAAUCCCUGGGCUCAACCCAGGAACUGCGUCCGAUACUGGGAGGCUUGAAUCCGGGAGAGGGAUGUGGAAUUCCAGGUGUAGCGGUGAAAUGCGUAGAUAUCUGGAGGAACACCGGUGGCGAAGGCGGCAUCCUGGACCGGUAUUGACGCUGAGGCGCGAAAGCCAGGGGAGCAAACGGG
rnacentral:rRNA from 1 species